rnacentral:rRNA from 1 species
AUUGAACGCUGGCGGCAGGCCUAACACAUGCAAGUCGAGCGAGCGGCGGACGGGUGAGUAAUGUCUGGGAAACUGCCUGAUGGAGGGGGAUAACUACUGGAAACGCUAGCUAAUAUCGCACACCAUCAGAUGUGUCCAGAUGGGAUUAGCUAGCGGGGGGGGUAACGGCUCACCAAGGCGAAGAUCCCUAGCUGGUCUGAGAGGAUGACCAGCCACACUGGAACUGAGACACGGUCCAGACUCCUACGGAAGGCAGCAGUGGGGAAUAUUGCACAAUGGGCGCAAGCCUGAUGCAGCCAUGCCGCGUGUGUGAAGAAGGCCUUCGGGUUGUAAAGCACUUUCAGCGGGGAGGCGUUACCCGCAGAAGAAGCACCGGCUAACUCCGUGCCAGCAGCCGCGGUAAUUC